rnacentral:lncRNA from 1 species
CUGCCAUCUCGAGAAAUUGCUAAGACAGGCCCCAUCCUUUCAGGAAGUAUGGUUGCUGUCUUCUAGCAGACAGUAGAGUUGGGUACCAGAGGGAUGCCCUUGAUGGUGAGUCUCUUCGCAAGGUGCAAAGGUUGGGGUGGGCCUGUCUGAGGGGGCAAUUAGAACAAUGGUACCAGGAGCCAUCAGCAAGGGGCCUCCGGUCAGGUCCCAGUGUGGACUCUUGGGGGCUAAUCUUUCUAAUAUGGCCGUGGUUCUGACUUGAAUCAAGAAUUCCUAAUAGCUGAUAAAAUCAGACCUCAUUGCUGUCUAAUC